UACGGAGGAUCCGAGCGUUAUUCGGAUUUAUUGGGUUUAAAGGGUGCGUAGGCGGUUUGAUAAGUUAGAGGUGAAAUGUCGGGGCUCAACCCCGAAACUGCCUCUAAUACUGUUGGACUAGAGAAUAGUUGCGGUAGGCGGAAUGUAUGGUGUAGCGGUGAAAUGCUUAGAGAUCAUACAGAACACCGAUUGCGAAGGCAGCUUACCAAACUAUAUCUGACGUUGAGGCACGAAAGCGUGGGUAGCAAACAGG
rnacentral:rRNA from 1 species